rnacentral:rRNA from 1 species
CCUACGGGUGGCUGCAGUGGGGAAUAUUGCACAAUGGGCGCAAGCCUGAUGCAGCCAUGCCGCGUGUGUGAGGAAGGCCUUCGGGUUGUAAAGCACUUUCAGCGGGGAGGAAGGCGGUGAGGUUAAUAACCUCAUCGAUUGACGUUACCCGCAGAAGAAGCACCGGCUAACUCCGUGCCAGCAGCCGCGGUAAUACGGAGGGUGCAAGCGUUAAUCGGAAUUACUGGGCGUAAAGCGCACGCAGGCGGUCUGUCAAGUCGGAUGUGAAAUCCCCGGGCUCAACCUGGGAACUGCAUUCGAAACUGGCAGGCUAGAGUCUUGUAGAGGGGGGUAGAAUUCCAGGUGUAGCGGUGAAAUGCGUAGAGAUCUGGAGGAAUACCGGUGGCGAAGGCGGCCCCCUGGACAAAGACUGACGCUCAGGUGCGAAAGCGUGGGGAGCAAACAGGAUUAGAUACCCUUGUAGUC